UCUGGAUACCAUUGAUUUAAAUAACACCUCAUCAGCGCCACACAGCGGAAGUUGGAAGAUUUUCGACCGGGAGGAGCAAGUCCUGACAUGUUUAUGGAGGGAAGAAAUUCUCCUGGAUAUUCGAAGUCGACGAUCACUACCACCGAAAGCCAGAUUCGAACAGAGAUCUCCAAAAAUAUGACGACCACUCUUAGGGUCUGGAUCCGAAGUUUGCCAGGAAAAAAAAUCCGAAACAAAACAGAGUGUCCAAGAAGUUCCUAUUUCAAUUCCUUCUGUACCAAAAGCUCCUCCCGAACCAAAAACUUCCCCUGAAAAGAAAACCUUACCUGAAAAGAAAGCUGCUCCCUUAACCCUCGAAGAAGCAUACAAGGAGUGUUUCAAGGAGAUGCAGAGAUUGGAUUCCCAAUCAUUUUCUACAAGUCUUCCAGAUGUCCUGCCAGAGAUAUCUACUCAAUCCUCUGAAAGCUCAUAUGAAACGACAGAGACGCCAUUCGGCACGACCACAACCUUAACGAAA